rnacentral:rRNA from 1 species
ACGAACGCUGGCGGCACGCCUAACACAUGCAAGUCGAACGAAGCUGGUAGCUUGCUACCAGACUGAGUGGCAGACGGGUGAGUAACACGUGGGUAUCUGCCUAUUGGUGGGGAAUAACUCUUGGAAACGAGAGCUAAUACCGCAUAAGCCCUGAGGGGGAAAGAUUUAUCGCCAAUAGAAGAGCCCGCGUUAGAUUAGCUAGUUGGUAGGGUAAUGGCCUACCAAGGCUACGAUCUAUAGCUGGUCUGAGAGGAUGAUCAGCCACACUGGGACUGAGACACGGCCCAGACUCCUACGGGAGGCAGCAGUGGGGAAUAUUGGACAAUGGGGGCAACCCUGAUCCAGCGAUGCCGCGUGAGUGAAGAAGGCCUUAGGGUUGUAAAGCUCUUUCGGUGGGGAAGAUGAUGACGGUACCCACAAAAGAAGUACCGGCUAACUCUGU